CCUACGGGUGGCAGCAGUAGGGAAUAUUGCUCAAUGGGGGAAACCCUGAAGCAGCAACGCCGCGUGGAGGAUGAAGGCUUUCGGAUUGUAAACUCCUUUUGUCAGAGAAGAUAAUGAUGGUAUUAAACGAAUAAGUACCUGCCAACUCCGUGCCAGCAGCCGCGGUAAUACGGAGGGUGCAAGCGUUACUCGGAAUCACUGGGCGUAAAGAGCGCGUAGGCGGGUUGGCAAGUCAGAUGUGAAAUCCUAUGGCUUAACCAUAGAACUGCAUUUGAAACUGUUAAUCUAGAGUAUGGGAGAGGUAGGUAGAAUUCUUGGUGUAGGGGUAAAAUCCGUAGAGAUCAAGAGGAAUACUCGUUGCGAAGGCGACCUGCUAGAACAUAACUGACGCUGAUGCGCGAAAGCGUGGGGAGCAAACAGGAUUAGAUACCCCAGUAGUC
rnacentral:rRNA from 1 species